CUUCCAUGUAAACAAAAUGAAAUGUAAAGCAUGUCUUGUCUGUGUACUGGAGACUACUGGAGUGUGCAGGAGGUUUUUGUACGGCUGCUUAAUGAGUCUGUAUCACUGUGGUACACUUUUGGUGGAGGAACCAGACUGGCUGUUGGAACUGACGCGCGUCCCAGCCUGACGCUGCUUCCCCCCUCCAGUGUGGAGCUGCAGCAGGGGAAGGCCACCCUGGUGUGCCUGGCCACCAAGGGCUUCCCCUGGGACUGGAGGCUGAGCUGGAAGGUGUCCGGGAGCAGCAGCCGCUGGGAGGGGAGCCAGAGCCCUGCGCUCCUGGAGAAGGACGGCCUCUACAGCUGGAGCAGCAGCCUCACCCUCACCCAGGAGCAGUGGAGGAAGGCGCCAGCCGUCACCUGUGAGGCCACCCAGGGCACCCAGGAACCCGUCACCCAGGACAUCAAGAUGGGAGACUGCGCCCAGUAGACACGCACACACACACACACACUUACAGAGAGAGAGACGCAGCCACAAACACACGCUUA